rnacentral:rRNA from 1 species
AUGGAGAAGAGCAAGGUACCUCUGCUGGAGCCUGCUUGGCCGCCGGCGGACAUUGAUAGGCGGAGCAGCGCCGGGGGAGAUGAAGGUGAGGAGGAAGGGCUGGGACGGCGGCUGGUGGAGGAGAACAGGAAGUUGUGGGUGGUGGCGGGGCCGUCCAUCUGCACACGCUUCUCCACGUUCGGCCUCACCAUCAUCAGCCAAGCCUUCAUCGGCCACAUCGGACCCACAGAGCUCGCCGCCUACGCGCUCGUCUCCACCGUCCUCAUGCGCUUCAGCAUCGACGUCCUGAUGGGCAUGGCGAGCGCGCUUGAAACGUUAUGUGGUCAGUCGUACGGUGCCAAACAGUACCAUAUGCUAGGAAUCUACCUCCAACGCUCAUGGAUCAUCCUCUUCGCCUGCGCCGUCGCCAUGCUCUCCAUCUACCUCUUCACCUCCCCGCUCCUCGUCUUCCUCGGCCAGGACCCCGCCAUCUGCUCGGUCGCCGGCACCAUUGCCCUCUGGUACAUCCCCAUCAUGCUCUCCAGUGUCUGGUCCUACACGCUCCAGAUGUACCUGCAGGCGCAGAGCAAGAACGCCAUCAUCACCUACCUCGCCUUCCUCAACCUCGGCAUCCACCUUCUCCUCUCCUGGCUUGCCACGGCUAGGUUCGACCUCGGUCUGGCGGGGGUCAUGGGCUCCAAUAUCAUCGCCGUGUGGAUCCCUGUAUUUGGGCAGCUCGUCUUCGUCUUCUUCGGUGGAUGCCCUCAGACGUGGACAGGGUUCUCAUCGGCUGCAUUCGCCGAUCUCGGUGCCGUCUUUAAGCUCUCCAUGUCCUCUGGUGUGAUGCUUUGUUUGGAAAUGUGGUACAACACCAUAUUGGUCCUCCUGACUGGGAAUAUGAAGAAUGCACAGAUUGCACUCGACGCUCUUUCCAUAUGCCUUAACAUCAAUGGAUGGGAGCUGAUGAUUUCAGUAGGAUUUUUGGGUGCAACCGGAGUGCGAGUGGCAAAUGAGCUUGGUGCUGGAAGUGCGAGGAGGGCCAAGUUCGCCAUCGCCAAUGUGGUCGUCACUUCCUUCUUCAUCGGAUUUGUGUUGUUUGUAUUCUUCCUUUUCUUCCGCGGGAACAUCGCGUACAUGUUUACCGAGAGCCGAGCAGUAGCUAACGCGGUGGCCGACCUUUCGCCUCUCCUGGCAUUCUCUAUUCUGCUGAACAGUGUUCAACCAGUGCUACCAGGCGUUGCUGUUGGUGCGGGCUGGCAAAGUGUGGUCGCCUAUGUUAACAUCACAUCCUACUACAUGAUUGGCAUCCCACUUGGGGUAGUGCUUGGUUACAUUGUCAGAUUUCAAGUAAAGGGCAUUUGGAUUGCGAUGCUGGUAGGAACACUGGUUCAAACUGUUGUACUUGUGUACAUAACACUUGGGACUGACUGGCAAAAACAGGUAAAGAUUGCUCGUGAGAGGCUGAAGAGAUGGUACAUGGACGAGGACACAAGAUUGCAAGGUUCAGCUGGAAAAUAA